CGGGGUUUCACCAUGUUGGCCAGGCUGGUCUCGAACUCCUGACCUCGUGAUCUGCCUGCCUUGGGCUCCUGAGUGUUUUCAGAUAAGUAGAUAUUAAGUGACUGACUGAGUAAAGGGAUACACUGGAUCUAUGGAAGUCUUGAUCCAAAAAGCUCUCCAUUGUCCAGUCAGACUCCCUUUUCCAUCUCCAGGGCAGACCAGGGCAUGGUAUAAACUGACUCCACUCCUUGUGUGUAAUACAGUGUCUUCCUAGAGAGGGCGUCUGUCAUUCCACCCCCAGGGACUGCUUGGCAUCUGUGUGGCAGGGGCCAUGCUGUUCCCCGCUGGGAGCACCAUCCUACAGUAAUCUCUGUGCAGGAUGCUAUUAUAAGAAAGACUUGGGACUUUGUCCCCACUCUGCAACCUCACACCCCAAACUGGGAAGGUGCUGAGAAACCGAAGAUUGGCUCGGACAAGUCCAGCUUGGCCAGUAGAUGACUCUAUUGAGGGCCCUCCUGGGUGGCGGCAGGACAGCUCUAGAGGUUCGCACUGCUGCCAUCACUAAGCAAAGUCUCUGGUUCCUGGCCUGCUGUGUGUGAUGGGACUGCCUUCCUGGGUAGGUUCCCAGAUACUCCCAGGGACACACGCUCCUCGCUGGGCCCCCCUGGCCUUGGCUCCUUGCCUGGCCUUCAGGGUUCAGGCAGUGGACAUCCACCCCACGUGACAUGGUGGGACACCUGUCACACCACCGAUGCCCCUGCAGAUGGGCCACGCAACAGCCCUCGGGCCUUCCUGUCUCAGAGCAGGGCUGAUCACAGUCAGGCCCACUGCAGUGGAGAAAGACUGUGCAGAGCUAGACGCUGGACUCGGAUCCUCUCUAGCGUGGGACAGGCACUGGGCACCCAGGUCAGCUGCAGUUCCUGAGAGAGGGCAGCCCCAGAGUCAGAAUCAAGGUGUCAAUAAUAGGAGAAACGAUGGUGGGGAGGAGACCAAGGCAUUAAUAUAGGAACUCUGUAUACUUUCCAGUCAAUUUUUCCAUAAAACUAAAACUGCUCUAAAAAAGGAGUCUGUUAAUUUUUUAAAAUCUCAAAAAGAAUGUGGCUGGUGCCACAAUGAACAAUUUGAGUGAGAAGCUACUCAACGAGGUCAGAGGCAUCAGAGAGGAAGAACACAGCAGCCUGUUUUCUUUGCUGCUCUUUACCGUUAGAAAGAACACUUUUACAACAGACUCUGUUUGAGGACAAACGCUCCACAUUUUUGCCCGCUGGCAGCAGUCAUAAAUUAUGAGAUUUCUGAGGGGCACAAAACUGCAGCGGUCUAAACCAGGCAACAAAAAUCAGCCAAGUCCUUAUCAGGAUCCCCUACAAAUUCUAUUGACUUUUUUGGAUCUGUUUGUCCCUAGGUGUGAACUAGGGAAAAGUCAGGCGAGUCUGCCUUGCUAGUAUAUUUAAAAGAGGAUCUUGGAGAAUUUGAAAGAAAAUGUGGAAGAAGAAAUGACAGUGCUUGGUGAAAGUCAGCAGAAGGGCUUGAUAAUGGAACAGACUAAGGGUGGUGGAUAGUUUUAAGGUUGAGAGAGAAAUGGAAUUAAAAAAAAGGGAGAUAUUCCUGGGGGCUUGAAGCAAGAAGCAGCAGCCGAGAGCAGCGCUGAUCAGGAUGUGAAGGGAGCUUGGUGCGGAGGGCAGUGCUUCCUAUGAGAAAAAGUCCAGUGGUCAAUCUUUUGGGAAGGAGCUGGUGGGAUGAGGGGGCAGCUGGACUGACCUGAGUGCUGUUGUACUGUCUGACCAUCUCCUUUGUAAACAGACGCUCCACACUCAUGCUCAGAGCAGCAUUAUUCACAGCAGCCAGGAGGGGGACGUCGCCCAGGUGUUCCUCGGUGGAUGAAUGGAUAAAGAAAAUGUAAACACACAGUGGAAUCUUACUCAGCCUUGAAAAGGAAGGAAAGUCCAUCCAACACAUGCUACUGCAUGGACGAACUUUGGACAGUGAGCUAAGUGAAAGGAGACAGUCACAAAAGGACAAAUACCAGAUGAUCCCACCUGCGCGAGAUGAUGUUUGUCAUAUCUCCUGCAUGGAGGAAAAUUGCUUUCUGUAAAUCUUGGUCCAACAGAACAAAACACCUAUUUCUUUCCAGUUGGGAGGACAGCCAUUCUCAUCGGUAUAAUGAACGUAUUGUAAGCUGUGACUUUUACAAAGUCUGAGGGAAACCAAUCUGCAAUCUUGACAGAUACGAUCUUUCCAGAUGCACUGUUCGUUUACGGCGGCAAGAGAGCUCAAUUAAUUUCUGAGGGAGGACGGCAGGAUGCGACCCCUUGUGCGUGGCCUAGGAGGAACUGUCCCUGUGUGAAUUUAUGUUCUGGUAAUUUAAAAAGAUUUAUAUUAAGCUUUUCUUUCAUUUUGAGAGUAGAUUAAAAUUCUAAUGGAAACCAUUUGUAUGCAUUUGUUGAAUUGAAGAGUAUUUAUGGCUGUGUAAAAAAAAUGCUGCAAAAUUCUGCCGAUAAUAAAGUCAGUGAAGCAAGAAUAAGUGUAAAAACAGGAAGGAAAUACGCGAUAGAAACCAUACUGUAUUAUACAAGUAUAAUGAGGGAGGCAAGCCGAGCAGAACGGGGCAGGGAUUAGGCCCCCGGAUGGGAUAGUUUUUCUUAUUUAGUGUAAGGCUUUUGUAGCCCUUUUAUGACUUAAAACAAAAUUUAAAUUUUGAAACAGGCCAGGUCAGUCUGCACAGACCCCAUGGCCACAUCACUGUGUCACAUCAUUCUUGAACUCCUGCCGGUGUCUAGGACAAACAGGCAGGAAAGAAAAUCCAAGCGGCGUCUCAGAGAAAAGAUGCUGAUGGCAGGAAAAGAAGACCCAUGAAACAGGAGGCGGGGGUCAGCGAGCAAGGUGAAAAUCAGAGCCCCGGAGUGCAGUGCAGGUGGAAGAGAGGUAGCAAAACCAGGGAAGUCGCCGUGCUCGGGACAGUCCAGUGUGUCCCUGGCAUCCCCAGUCAUUGCCGUGGCCACCUGAUCAGAACCUGUACAGAAGCUGCCCCAUCUCCUCCACGGUGAGGGCCAAGUUGCAUGUGCCACAGCCCUGUCGGUGACCUUUCUGCGGGCUGGGGAAGCAGAGACAACGGCCUGACAAUCUGCAGGCACAGCCAUCCAAGGGGACAGGGUCCAUGCAACAGCCACCAGAGAAAGCUCCUCACUGCCACCUUUGCAGAGGGAGAAAAGCAGAAAGCAUCGUGGAGGCCCUUUAUCAUGUUGGAAGGCCAGAGACAUUUGGCAUUCCGUCAAGGUCCAUCUUAGAGUUGAGAGAGAGUUUCACCAGGAAACUCACAUUCUCUCAGAACUAGCAGCCGUGAUCGCAUGUCGAAGUCAGGCAACGCCAAGCGUGAUGGUUAACAGCGCUAAGACAGGAGAAAAUGGAAAUUCCCUGAGAGUCCACUGCUCUGCUCCUGCGGCGGUGCUUUUCCCCCUCGUUGUAAGCAUGCUCUUUACCAGAGCUGCACGGAUGUCAUAAACUGCCUCACGAUGCACUAGAGCAGAAUCGUGCGUUAGCAAAUUUCACAGAUGCAAAGUGGGAUUUCUGUCAAUGGAAGCCUGCAUGGAAAAUACGGAACAGCUUAAGAAAGUACUGUCUUCUCUCAAAAUUCCACAGGAGCCUGAAAUGCAGGGGUUCCGGCCUAGGCGUUUUUUGAGGCAAAUAACGUCGCCACACGGCCGAGAUACAGGCCCCUUUUUGCCCCAUGAGACUUACUGGCCUCAGAGUCCGGCCGCUUCUGUUUUGUUUCUUCAUGUAUCCUUGGCUUCUAGCGCAGUUCCUGGUACACAGCAGGCGCUCAAUACAUAUUUGCUGAGCUAAGCAAAUAUGUCCUAGGCCCUGUGGAAGAUACGACAUGAGGAAGACCAGGUCCCUGCCAAAAAGGCACCGAGGGCCCAGGCUGGGGAGGGUAGUGCUGACAUCGAGUAGGCCUUCAGCUCUGACCCCAGCUUCAUUUUAAGUGACUAGGAACAAAUUCUCAAAACUUCUUUUCUAUCAACUCUUCUUCACCCCCAAUAUCACAGCACAACUGUCUGUCAUUGAUGGAGUUCCUGCAAUAAGACAAGCGCUAGAAGUUUACCAUAUUUGUAUCCUUACUGGAUUCCCAAAUUAAUCCUAGUAAGCAAGUGACAUGAUUGUUUUUAGUAGAGACAGGGUUUCACUUUGUUGGCCAGGCUAGUCUUGAACUCCUGACCUCAAGUGAUCCACCCACCUCAGCCUCCCAAAGUGCUGGGAUUAGGAAAAUGAAUACUUUUGCAAGCACAAUGACAGGAGUGUCAAAGGAGGUAGGCUCCACACUCUGAUGUCUCUUUAUCAGUGAGGCCUUUUCUGACUCCCUCACAUGAAGAGCAAACUCACUUCCCUUGUGCCAAAGCACUCAACAUAUAUGACAUCCCACACGGGGUAGGCUGAAUCGUGGCCCUUAAAGUAUGUCCAUGUUCCAAUCCUUAGAACAUGUGAAUGUAUUACCUUAUGUGGCAAAAUGGACUUUGCAGACAUGAUUAAGUUAAGGAUCUUGAGAUUUCAGGAAAAUUAUCUUGGAUCAUUCAGGUAGGCCUGACAUAAUCACAAGAGCCCUUACAAGAGAGAGGCAGGAGGCCAGAGGCAGAGAGCUACACUGCGGAGCUGCUUUGCAGAUGGAGGAAGGGGCCACCGAGACCUGAGAAAGUCAAGGAGACAGAUUCUCCCCUGGAGCCUCCAGAGGGAACCAGCCCUGCUCACACCGUCAUUUCAGCCCUGCAAGACUUGUUUGGGCUUCUGACGUCAAGAACUGGGACAGAAUGAAUUUGUGAUGUUUUAGGCCACUAGAUCUGUGGUAAUGUGUUAUAGCAGAAAUAGGAAACUAACACAACUCAUCUCUACUUGUGUAUAUGUUUGUUAUCCGUCUUCCUCUGCUGGGACAUGAAAUCCGCAACAAGUGGAGGCAAAGCCAGGGACUUUGUCUAUUAUGUUGACUGGCAUCCUUAGUGCUCAGAACAGAGCUCAGAAUAAUAAAUAUUUGUUGAAUGAGCAAAGACGGAGGGGGCAGUCGCAGGAAGGGGGCCUACCGCGUGGCUAAGGGCCCUGAGGUAUGAAAGAUCUGAGAUGCUGGUGGACGUGGCUGCUUCCCGAGCUGAACUGGGGAAGUGGUGGGGAGGUGGGAGAUGUCGGGGAGCUGAUGCUGGGGCAGUUUAUACUUUAUUCUGCAAAUGAAGAAUUAUUGAUGGGUUUCAUGUAGAGUCAUGAUCAUAUUUCUUGAUUGCGUUUUUUUUUUGUUUUGUUUUGUUUUGUUUUUUUGAGACAGAGUCUCACUCUGUCGCCGAGGCUGGAGUGCAGUGGUGCGAUCUUGGCUCACUGCAACCUCCGCCUCCUGGAUUCAAGCUUCCCGAGUAGCUGGGAUUACAGGUGCAUGCCACCAUGCCCGGCUAAUUUUUGUAUUUUUAGUAGAGACGGAGUUUCACCAUGUUAGUCAGGCUGGUCUCAAACUCCUGACCUCGUGAUCCACCCACCUCAACCUCCCAAAGUGCUGGGAUUACAAGCGUGAGCCACUGCGCCUGGCCUCCUGAUUGCUUUUUAAGUAAUUUUUUAAAAAUAAUUUUUCUCUUUAUUAUUAAAUGUUAGAAAUAUAUGGAAACGUGGGCAAAAAGUAAAAAUCACUCAAAUCUCAUUCCUAGAGUUAGUCACUAUUAAUAUUUUGGUGUAUGUGUAUUUCUUCCUUCAACAUUCAGAUUAUAUACUUUUUUGAAACUGGCUUUUUUCUCUUAAUGUGAAUUUCUCCAUGUCAUUAAAUAUUCUCCUAAAAA
rnacentral:lncRNA from 1 species